UAAGCAAGCCAAAAAACAGGGUAAUUUUAGUAGUUAGCCUUCAUACCAGGUUCAAGCGAGCAAUUGUCCCUUUAUAUUAUAUAUUAUGUCUUCUGCAAUGCAUCGUCGAGAUGCUCGCCCAAACAUUGUCUUCGAUUUUAAAAGUUAGCCGGCAUUUAUGGGGGAAAAUUGUACACACUGCUAGAAAAAUUAUGACAAGCUAGUGAUGCAGGCCGAUAUCUCACUAUGAUUGAAUUUGGUGGACUCCAAUAUCUCAUAUA
rnacentral:lncRNA from 1 species